rnacentral:rRNA from 1 species
UGGGGAAUUUUGGACAAUGGGCGAAAGCCUGAUCCAGCAAUGCCGCGUGUGUGAAGAAGGCCUUCGGGUUGUAAAGCACUUUUGUCCGGAAAGAAAUCCUUGGCUCUAAUACAGUCGGGGGAUGACGGUACCGGAAGAAUAAGCACCGGCUAACUACGUGCCAGCAGCCGCGGUAAUACGUAGGGUGCAAGCGUUAAUCGGAAUUACUGGGCGUAAAGCGUGCGCAGGCGGUUUGCUAAGACCGAUGUGAAAUCCCCGGGCUCAACCUGGGAACUGCAUUGGUGACUGGCAGGCUAGAGUAUGGCAGAGGGGGGUAGAAUUCCACGUGUAGCAGUGAAAUGCGUAGAGAUGUGGAGGAAUACCGAUGGCGAAGGCAGCCCCCUGGGCCAAUACUGACGCUCAUGCACGAAAGCGUGGGGAGCAAACAGGAUUAGAUACCCUGGUAGUCCACGCCCUAAACGAUGUCAACUAGUUGUUGGGGAUUCAUUUCCUUAGUAACGUAGCUAACGCGUGAAGUUGACCGCCUGGGGAGUACGGUCGUCAAAGAUUAAAACUUAAAUGAAUUGACGGGGUCAUAGCUGUUUCCU